ACGUGAUUUCCUUCUAAGUGAUAACACGGUGUGUCGUCGUCCUCACAAUUUCAGCUUUUAAGAAUUGUACGAGUCGAGCAAGUCCAAAUAGGUAUGACACGUAUAACACGAUAAAAACGCGCAGAGGAUACAAAAGCUUUUUCUGCGAUAGCUGUUCCUCCUGUUUACUUCAAGUAAGUCUAUCUCAUUUUAAGGAUGUAACAGAAAGAGAGAGGGAGAGAAAGAGUGAGAGAAUGAGAGAGUGGGAGAAGGAGGGAGAGUGAGAGAGAGAGAGGGAGAAAAGCUGUGUAUUCACAUGGAAAUAAACAUUCGGCUGUCAUUUCCAAGAAUUUUCGACCAUUUCCUUAGUCGAAACAAAAACAUUUACGAUCGUACUCGUAGCGUACGAGGAGUCGUCUUUAGUUUUCUAGAAUCUUCCGUCGUUUGCUCUACAGCUAGAAAAUCGCCGGAUAAUCUUUUUUAAGAUACGUAUUUUACUGUUUAAUGUUUUCAUUUUUUAUCUUUUCGAUGAUUCAGCGUUAUUCGUUUAAUGUUCUGGCAGAUUUAUUAUCACGUAAAAAGGCAUAGAAAUUGGUUAGGUUAUUCUUGGUGAUCCUCAUGUGCAGUUCUUAAUUUAUUUUAAACACACAUUUUCAGUAAUAGUUAGGUCUUCUAUACAGCUUCCUCCUAGUGGUGGGACGUGGUAAUCAGUGUUGCUUGAAGUGUAAUUUAAAAAACAAAACAAGCACUACUGAAAGCUAAUGGCCGCUCGCUCUGAUACAUCUCAGGGUUUAAUUAACUUUUAAUUACUUCAUUUGCACGCAAUUAAGUGUUAAUUAUGAUCAACAUGAUCGAAUGAUAUAUUCUUUCAUGUGUUUAAUGUCUUUUAGAAAUAAUUUACAAGAACGUGAUGUAGUUUAUCAAUGUAUUUUUUGUUUUAUAAUUUUUUAUAUGUUCCAGUUUUUCACAAUUUUUGUCAUUCGUGACUGCGUCCAGAGCAAUCGUAGCAUCAGCGUGUGCUCAUAAUGCAUUUAUUACGCUUUUUUUGUAGCUAAAUAAGUCGAUUCAAUCAAAUUAGAGUUAAUCGAAAUUUGGGAAGUAGACUCACGUUUGCGUUCAUGGAUUAUUCAUCAUCAUCUUGAACCAAUCAUCAUCUGGCAAGGAUCAAUGGUGGCUCUACUUGAAUGAAAGAAGAAUCAUUUUUAUGUGUCCUUGGGCAGGAUGCUCAUCAGGCAAAGAUCAACGAAGACAUUAAGUAAGUAAAUUAUUUAAUUGAACGUUUUCUCAAUAAUUUCGCGAUCUUUUUAUCAACGACGAUACUAAAAUUCUGCUUCUUCUUUUUUUAGACUAUUAUUGCAAUCGUCCCUGAAGCAAUGAAUUAAUCAAACGUUGUCUCAUUAAAAUAUAAACGAUAAAACCGCAAAUUAGAAGCAGUGUUUGUUGUAAUUUAAAUUAAUUCGCGUUCGUGAUAAAAAGUGAUUUUUAGAAACAUGUAUACUUGAGUUGACUGCGCGCAAAGCAGUCGGCUAUAGAGUCAGUGUUUGUUCGUACAAAGUUUUCUUUUUUCUAUUGAUAAUUGCAUAGAGAGACUACUUAUAUUUGAAUAAUAGAGAUGCGCGAAUUAAAUUCAGUGUUCGUUUUGUAAUUGAUAUAAUUAGAGUAUUAGAGUCAGUGCAUCACAGAAGAUAUGGUUCCCAUUUACAACUUCAACCUAUAUCGAAGUCAGUCUACCUCACUUUCAACUUGUUGCGGAUCAAUCUUCCUCAAUAAUUUUCAACCUACUAGAAAUCAACCUUUCUCAAUUUUGACCUACGAUAUGAAGGAGUGUUUUGGAGCCAUCGCAGAACUUCUUAAGUAAUAAGUGAAAAAACAUUUAAGUCCCUCCAGUACUCAAUCAUGUCGAGGAUGAAAGGUCCGAAUCGGCACGAGUUACUGGUUGUAAUUAUUUAAAUAAAUUAAUGACGAGCACGUGAGUAUAAUUCCCAACCGAAAUUAUACUCAUGGAUAGUACAAUGUCAAUUGUGUAUAUAUUUUUCAUUGUUGCUCUAUUGUACAUGUUUAUUUAUUAGCUCAGGCUAGGGUCUUCUUGUUUCAUCGGUUUAAAUCGUUUAAUUAAUAGUGCAAUCAGCACUUUUUUCUCUUUGUAUUUGCUUGCGAUAUUAGUGGUGAAAUCGGGCAUUCAAUUACCCGAUUUCGUAACAAGAAAAGCAUGCAAUGCUAAGUUACAUGCAUUGCUUCAUACUUGCAUUAAUCUAUUUAGUAAUCUACCUCGAUCUUUGUAUCAAAACGUAAACAAGAAGACAAAUCCCGCGCGACGGAUAGAUUCUAGUAAACAAGUAAUGAAUCAUGACCUUGUUUAUUUAUUAGAAUAGCUACUUGUUGAAAGGAAUCGUCCGAGGUUUUUUUUGAUUAUUAAGAUAUGAAAAAUUAAUGAAAUAUUUAUUCAAUUUUCUUGAUGAAAGAUAAUAAGUCUCAGUGAUGGUCUCAGAGAUAGAGUCAUUGUGUUUUUGAAAGAAAAAGAAAGUAGAGUAGAGUAAUAUCUAAAAAAAAAAAACAAAGAGACUUGUAGAGUCAUAGACCGCUUAGGCCCUAGACAAUAAGUUAAUCAUUUUUAGUUAAGGAUUUUCAGCAGUUAAUAUACUAAUUCCCGUUUCUCCCCCCCAUGCUUUCUGCGUUCUCAUUUAUGCACGUGCCCAGGUGUUACUCGUAUGGGUGAGAAACAGUUGGUAUGGGUUUAAUUGUAAGAUCUCCCUCUAUUGGCGACUGUCAUUGCUUAGUGAUUGCGCACGGUGUACCUUGCAUCUGUGUGCGCGCGUUAGGUGAUGCAUUGUACAUCGUUUCGCGAUAAUAUUUAAACUAAUACACAUAUCCAAAUAUAUACAUAUUAUUAUCAUUAUUACUAUUAUUAUCAUCAUUGUUAUUAAUAUCGUUUUGUAUGGUAGUUAUCACAUUUUUAUGGAAACUGAAAUACUCUUAUAUUACUAGUAUGUGUAUAUACUAGUAUAUAUUAGUAUUUUUUGCUUGUAGUUAUUUACGCAAUAAUCAUUAGCCUUGACAGUCGAUUACAGCAAUUGGUACGUAUUCCCAAUAUAUUAGAAAAAAUACGCGUUUGAGCUAGGGUGUCGGAGGUGCCCCGGGGCAUACUCUCUAGUGUAGGCUUUUUGCACCCUGGCGGUAUGUGAGAGAACCGUGGAGUGUGUGUGUUGGAACGAAUGUGUUUUGCUAUUUUUAAAUAUAGGAAAUUAGGUAGGCAGGUAGCAUACUUUGUAUGAAUGAGUAUUUAAUUUUAAGUAGGUAGGCCCGGUUAAGAAGCGGAGUGUCAUCACUCGGUUUCGUCUCCGGAUAUUAUGCAAAGUUUCAGCAAAUUUUAGAAUUAUCGAAGAUGCUUGUUUUUUUAUUUCUCCUAUAUUUUGCUGACGCUCUGUAUUGAGAUACAUAUACAUAUCAAACAGUUUAAUAAUCUUUGCAUUUAUUAGCGGACUAAUUGUUUCUUUCGAAUUAGCAAAGAUUUUUGAACAUGUUGGAUAUUUAGUAUUAAGUAUAUUAACACUUUGCACUUUCGUGGUUUCUAGGAUAUGUAAUUUAUUAUAUAACUAUAGCAAAGUAAAACUAGUAAAAUUAACGAGGUACAAGUGAUCAAGUGAAAGAUCAUAAGAUGUACAUAUUAUAGAUUUUUUUACUUUUGUUCGACACUAAUGUUUCUGAUGCAAAGUGUUGGUAAUAGGUUCAACGAUUAGAUCUAUAAUCUGCUGAGGCAUUCGAGUAAAUGUGCUUGUGUAGAUGAGCACGAUCGAUAGAUUUUUUUGAUCCAUUGAUCGUCCACAGGCUAGGAUAGUUCAUUAUGUAUAAUAGCCUUUUAUUUUUAUUUAUUUAUUUUUUUUUUAACGUGCAUUGCAUUUAGGGAAUGCCUUUGCAGUGGUUAGGGCAUGAAGCAAAGAAGAGGCUAUAUGCCGAAGAGGCCCCCACAAAUCGUGGCUCAAGAGGGUAACUAUAGAGACUAUGAGUUAUUUUUUUCAAAGGUUAUUAGUACGUCGUGUAAUCUUCGAAACUGAUUCGUAGUCUCAUUAUUUUAUAUUUAAUUAUAUUAUUGCAAUAUUAUGCUCGUCACUAAUUAUAAUUAUUUCAAAUGGAGAUGAUAGAUCAUUCCAUAUCUGUAUGGUACAUCGGAUGCACGAAUUUUUAGAAUAGGAAAUAUUUAUAUUUUAGUAAUUAUUAUUAUUAUUAUUUUCUUUUUUUCUUGCCUUUUUUAUUUUUGUUUUUUAUUUUUAAUUGUGAUUUAAUAUUAUCUGUUAUUUUAACGCGAAGAAAAUAAUUCAUAUAUAUAUAUAUAUUUUAUUAUUAGAUAUUUAUAA